ACAGUAUCAAUUCUCCACAUAACCUUGCAGUUACGACAUACAUGUUGGAGCAGGUCGGCAUUGCUUUUCCUGACACAGACAGCGACGUGAUAACAGCUGCUUGCAAGACUUAUUUUGAGUCUUUGAAAAGGAGCCAUCGUCUCGAUCAGCCAGAAAAUGCUCCCCAGAAAAAGAAAUUAAACAAUGCAAUGAAGACUAGACAACGGAAAACAAGGUUGCUGGCCUCCAGGGCUAGAUGUGUACAGACUCCCGCUGAAAUGUGACCUGAUGACCUGAUGUCAGAAGAAGAAGAUGGCGUCGUAGAUGGACGGGCGGUGUGGAUAGUUUCACCUCCACCCCAAAGACACGAGGCUUCUGCUUUGUGCCAGGUGCUUCAGCAGAGGAAAGACAAGCAGAGUUCAGCCCUAUACCUACAUGUGCAGCGACAGUCACUGGGGCAGAGCGGUGCCACGCAACGGGCGGCGCCACUGGGAGACAAUGGCUCGUUUUUAGCUCUGUUAAACUCUUAAGUUGACCUGUUUGGUAGAGGAGCAGGGGCCAUUCAGAUCAAACUGUAAAAAAAAAAAACUGCAAGAGAGAGAAGUGCUCACUGACUGGACUAAGUUUUGAUCUCUUUGUCGGAGAUUUGCUUUUAAA